UAUUUUGAUUGUGCAAAGGUAGCAUAAUAAUUAGUUUUUUAAUUGAGAACUGGUAUGAAUGGUUGGACGAGAAAAAAACUGUCUCAAUUUAAUUUUAAUUAGAAUUUUAUUUUUAAGUUAAAAAGCUUAAAUAUAUUUAAAAGACGAGAAGACCCUAUAGAGUUUUAUAAAAUUUAGUAUUUUUAAUAAUUUUAGUAUUUUAUCAAUUAAUUAUAUUAUUUUUAUUUGAUUGGGGCGAUUAAAAAAUUUAAAUAACUUUUUUUAAGUAUAAACAUUAAUUUAUGAAUAAUUGAUCC
rnacentral:rRNA from 1 species